GAUGAAGAACGUAGCGAAAUGCGAUAAGUAAUGUGAAUUGCAGAAUUCAGUGAAUCAUCGAAUCUUUGAACGCACAUUGCGCCCUCUGGUAUUCCGGGGGGCAUGCCUGUUCGAGCGUCAUUAUAACCACUCAAGCUCUCGCUUGGUAUUGGGGUUCGCGGUUUCGCGGCCCCUAAAAUCAGUGGCGGUGCCUGUCGGCUCUUCGCGUAGUAAUACUUCUCGCGAUUGAGUUCGAUAGGUCUACUUGCCAGUAACCCCCAAUUUUUACAGGUUGACCUCGGAUCAGGUAGGGAUACCCGCUGAACUUAAGCAUAUCAAUAAGCGGAGGA
rnacentral:misc_RNA from 1 species